GGAUGUGAUCAUACCAACACUAAAGCAUCAGAUCCCAUCAGAACUCCCAAAUUAAUAGUGCUUGGGCCAAAGUAGUACUAGGAUGGGUGACCUCCUCGAAAACCCUCGUGUUGCAUUCC
rnacentral:rRNA from 1 species